GUGUCCCCCGCGGCCCCGGACUCGCCUGCCUGGGCCCCGGCCCCCACCGGUGGCCCCCACCAGCGGCCCCCACCGGCAGCACUGGCCACUGAGUGGUAGAUGCUGUGGGACGCGCCUUGCGGACAAGAGCUCCCCUAGCUCCCCGGACUGAGCAGGGGGGCCUGUGGGUCUGGCCCCCGCCCCCACCCGGCAGGCUGAGCCCGGCCCACGGGGCGCCGUCAGUGGGGGGGCAGCAGGACAGGGCGCUGCAGUCACUCGGCAGAAAGCGUGGAUGCAGAGAGAACGGAGCCCCGGGCGCCGUCCCCGUCGAGUGAGGGCCUCUCCAAGAGGGGACUAGAGAGACGGCUUGACCCCAGAAAUCCGGAACGGCCCAAACGGAAGGAGAGCCCUCCCUGCCCGAGUGGAGCUCAGAGGAGUCCUGCCCACGAGAGGCACAGGGUCGGGGGCCCCAGAGCACUGCAUCCCCCCCUCCAGCGGGACGCCGGGGGCUCAGCUCCUUACACCCUUCGCGUCCGUAGGAGCGAGUCUUAGACAAGCCAACACUUCGAAAGGGGAGUGAACAGAAGGAAGCGCGCUGCCGCGAUGGUAGCUAGGAAACGAGGCUAACCAAGUACGCCAGGGUUUGGCGUGCGGAUGGAUGUGUGCGCUGGUGCUGUUGACUCCACAGCGACUCAGGCUCCUCUAAGGCACGGAAGCCUCACGCCCGUACCGAUAGUCACCAAAGAAUGACUAAAUGAGUGGGAAGCCCCUCUUACCUCUUACCUCCAGCUGCACAGGUGCCAGUCUCCUGCGCCAAGACCGGGGCCAGGCAGGUGGUGGCCUGGAAUCAGCCUACCCCUUGCUCGCUGUGGGAUCCUGCCCAAGUCACUAGACCGCUCUGAGCCUUGCUUUCCUCGUGUGGACAUGGGCGGACAGCCCGUCACACUCAUCUCACAGCCAUUGCGAGGAGCCAAGGAGAUGAUGCUUGGGCAGAGCUUCGGGUGGCGCUUGGCACAGCUGAACCAGGUGACGGCCGGCGGAGGAGGAGGAGGAAGACGGAGACGCCCAUGACAACGUACGCCGUUUGCAGUCCUUGGCCUCAGUCCGCUCUGUUUUUCCGUAGAGCAGCGUCCUCCAGUACCUGGUCGCAGACUCUUCACAGGCCUAAAAGUCAUCUUAGGGUACCAACGACCUCUUGUUUAUGUUGCUCUAUCAAUUGAUAUUCACUAUACAUCGAAACAGAAUCCAUAUACGUGUUUAAUAGUUCACUGAGAAGUGACGAUAGCAAACCCACAAUAUGUUCGCAUACAUAAAAUAUUUUUGCUGAAAAAUUACUUUUUUGAAUUUACGGUUUUGCAGUUUUGCAAGUCGCUGUUAUGUCUGGCCUAAAAGAAGACAACUGGAUCCUCGUAUCUAUUUCUGCAUUCAGGCUCCUUCCAUCUGCUGUUUCUGUUGAAGAAUGUGAGGAAAAUCUAGACUCGCGCAGAUAUGUAAUUGCAAAAGGGAGAAGUAUUUUAAUAGCCUGUUCAGAUCACCGUGGAUAGUCCUUGACUCUGUACCAGAACUCAGGGAGUGGUGGUUUCUUAAAAGAAACUUAUCGUGUGGAAUCUGGAAACAUACUGCUGAAUUUUUUGUGCUCUUUUUUCACUGAACUUCUUUACUUGUGCUGUGCCUUUAAAGUGCAUUUAUUUGCAGGCCGCUUAUAGUUCGGUCCUGCUUUUUUAUCCCAUCUGACAGUCUCUAUCUUUUAGUAAAUGUGUUGACAUCA